rnacentral:rRNA from 1 species
GGAGUUUGGACCGUGUCUCAGUUCCAAUGUGGGGGACCUUCCGUCUCAGAACCCCUACCGACUCGUUGCCUUGGUGGGCCGUUACCUCGCCAACCAUAGCUAAUCGGACGCAUCCCCAUCCCACCACCCGAUGAAUCUUUACUCCUCGUCAGAUGUCCGCAAAGGAGACCAUCAGGGAUUAAUCCAGUU